ACAAACAGAAAAACAAGGAAAAUAGCAGGCGCUCUGUCUUAGAGGGAGCAUUACAUUUAUCUAUGAAGCAACACAUUUAUGGGAUAACUUUAUCUUGAUAACAGUGCGGGAUGGUAGCUGCUUCUGGAUUGGCCUUUGUUUCUUUGUAGACUUUGAACUGCUUGAGAAAGGAGACUAUAAGAUAUAUAUUUGAUUCUGUGCUCUUCCAACACACACACACACACACACACACACGCACACACACAUUCCACAUUAUCUCAUACACUUUAUGCUGAGUUAGAAUUUAUUUGUUGUUAAACUGACUGGCAUAGAAAUGUUAAAUGUUUCAGGAAAGAAAUGGGCAGAUUCGAAGCCUCAAGGGAUCAGGAGUAGGGAGAAGCCACAUUUCAGUUUCUAAAGAAGCAAGAGUCUGCCCUGGGACACGGAGAGGGCAGUUGGCCAAUUGGAAGGAAUACGUUUUGACAUCAGAAGCAGUGGACCCCUGGCUCUCUGGGUCCCACCUGCCUCCCCAUGCUUUUGCCAGCUCCGUGCACACUAGUCCUCCCUCCAAGGGUCAGAGAACCUUCUUUUCACUGCCUGAGACCUUCUCUGAGUCGUAUGAAGCCUGCUUUGUCCACCUAGGAAGCAGCCCGGAACUUCCAGGAAAUUAACGCCCCUGGGAGCAACUCUCAGCCAAUGACUGACCACUGGUGGUGCCAUUCAUUCUACUAUCACUCAUUGAAUUCCACUGAGCACCUACUUUGUGGCAGGUGCACUCUGGGGCGGGUGCAGAGGUGAGCACAAUGAAUGGAAUCCAACCCGCAUGGAGCUUAUUCGUUGGAGGGGAAGGCAGGAACAUGGAUGGAGCUGGAGGCCAUUAUCCUCAGCAAACUAAUGCAGGAACAAAAAAACAAAUACUGCAUGUUCUCACUUAUAAGUGGGAACUAAAUGAUGAGAACUCAUGGACACAAAGAAGGUAACAACUGGGAUCUACCUGAGGGUAGAAGGUGGGAGGAGGGGGAGGAGCAUAAAAGACAACUAUUAGGUACUGGGCUUAAUACCCAGGUGAUGAAAUAAUAUGUACAAUAAACCUCCGUGACACUAAUUUGCCUGUGUAACAAACCUUCACAUG